AAUUCAAUCAUGUGAAGCCCAACCUUCUCUUCUUCCAGAAACUCAACUCUGGAUCAAGCUUCUCUCCUGUUCUUGCUGGUUCUGAUUUACACCUUGUGAGUAUCAAAGGACGUACAUUGCCAGCUUCCUCCGUUCUUUGUUCUUCAAUUUUUGUAGGGUUCAUUAUCCUUUCUCUAAUUGAAGUUACUGGACCUUCAAAUUCUUUGAAAAAACUUGAUGUUUCUUCAGUUUCUGGAUCUAAUCUUGAUUCUUGAUCAGAUUCUCCAUCAACAGACUGUGUUUUUGAUGCGGGACUGUCUUCUUGUGUGUUCUCUUGCUCUGC
rnacentral:lncRNA from 1 species